UAAUUGUGAAGUCACAGCAGCAGAACCAGGCAAAUGAUAGAAACUUAAUGAUCACAGAUUGAAUCGCACUCGCUGAUGCUGAAGGAAACGACAGACAUGCGUACCUCUGCAGAAGCCUGAAUUCUGAUGAUGGAACUGGAUGUUCUGACAUUGUAAAUGGUCUCUGAGAAAGGGAACACCCCUUCCACUGUUUACUGAAACUGUAACAUUGUCAUGAGUGAAGAAUGAGCCCUGUUUAUAUUAACGUAAAACAUUUACAAUUAUGAUGAUCAGAGGCAAAAGACAUGGAACAGAUGAAACAUCAACAGGAGAACAGGGAGAGAGAAGCAAUGGGCAAAUGAUUUGUCAGGCUCACAGUUUUUUUGAGAAUGGCUAUUCCAUUAACCUUGGAACUGCAGUAACAGUGUCAAGAAUAGAGUUCCCAGAUGACAUGUGAUGGCCACGUAACACAAGAGAGAAAUCAAUCUUCGUUGUUUUAAGCUACUGAGAUUUCUAGGUUGUUUGUUACUUUAUCAUAAUCUAGUUUACCUUAUUUUCUGCCAUCUAUAUUAUGUUUUUAAGCAAAAAGAAAAAAGCUAUUUUCAUUAAACAAAAAUAUGUUCCUCCAAAUGUU